AUAGAGACUCAGAGCUGCAUAUCAAUAAGCGGAGGAAAAGAAACUAACAAGGAUUCCCUUAGUAACGGCGAGUGAAGCGGGAAGAGCUCAAAUUUGAAAUCUUCAAGGUUCUACCUUGACGAAUUGUAGUUUAAAGAAGUGUUUUCUGUUAGAUGAGUAGCAAAAGUUCCUUGGAAUGGGACAUCAUAGAGGGUGAGAAUCCCGUAUUUGGUUAUUCAUUCUAGCUUUGUGAUACACUUUCAAAGAGUCGGAUUGUCUGGGAAUGCAGUCCAAAAUGGGUGGUAAAUUUCAUCUAAAGCUAAAUAUUGGCGAGAGACCGAUAGCGAACAAGUACCGUGAGGGAAAGAUGAAAAGAACUUUGAAAAGAGAGUUAAACAGUACGUGAAAUUGUCAAAAGGGAAGCGUUUGACACCAGUGUUGUUUUCUCCGAAAAUCAAUUACAAAUGGCUUGAUUCUGUGUUGUAUUGACCUUAUCAAGCUUUCUUCACUUUUUUCAUGUCUUUCUUAAUGCACUUUUGGUUAACAAGUCAACAUCAGUUUCUUUUGUUGUAAAAGGGUCAUGAGGAAGGUGGCUUUCUUUUCGGAGAAAGUGUUUAUAGCCUUGUGCCUCUGCAAUCGGAGAGAUUGAGGUCUGCAGCGUAGAUCCUUCGGGGUUAGAUACGUUUGUGCUAAGUUAUAGCUUUUCAUAGACAACUUGUUGACUAUGUUUAGUCUUGUAGCUUACUCGCAGACGCUAUUUUACCUACGCUUAGGAUGUUGACGAUCAGCUGAGCGCG
rnacentral:rRNA from 1 species